UACGUAUGGUGCAAGCGUUAUCCGGAUUUACUGGGUGUAAAGGGAGCGCAGGCGGCGCGGCAAGUCCGAUGUAAAAACCCCCGGCUCAACCGGGGGACUGCAUUGGAAACUACCGGGCUGGAGUGCCGGAGAGGUAGGCGGAAUUCCUGGUGUAGCGGUGAAAUGCGUAGAUAUCAGGAGGAACACCAGUGGCGAAGGCGGCCUACUGGACGGUGACUGACGCUGAGGCUCGAAAGCGUGGGGAGCAAACAGG
rnacentral:rRNA from 1 species